rnacentral:lncRNA from 1 species
AUGAUCAGCUUUCACUUGAAGGCAGUCAAACCACCUUUCCUAAUCUUUGUAUUCCUUUUCUCUCUCUACAAAGUUGGACUUGUAUCGAGCACUGGUGUUUCUCUCAGCCUCUCCAAGAUCCUGCCCCAUUUCUCCCUCAUGCAGGUGUUUCUCCUAAAACCAUCCGUUUCCAUUAAAUCACAGCGUGUCUGUUCUCAGGUCAAUCUUGGAGUCUCCUCAUCUGGGAACUCAGAUAAACCCAGGCAUCCUUCGUGUAACCUCUUCCAUCCAAGAAGAGCAAACAGGCAGAAGAUGACGGGUGAAAACAUAUCACACGAAAACGUGAAAGAAAAACAACCACCACCAGUCUCCUCCUUCUAGGUCAGGUGCAGAGACAUCACCGUUCACACCCACAGAGGCAUUUCCAGCUGGUGCCCUCAACCAGCACUGGGGGACCGUCUUCCCUACAGGUACAGGUAGGAACUACUCUAGACUUCGCGGUCAGAGGGUCUCUGUGGUGACUUCUCAACACUUCGAGGCAGCCUGAAGCCUGAGGUCACCCUCACACGGCCCAGGAAGGCAGAAAGAGCAUGGCUAUCUGCCCAUAAGACAUUACUGAGGGACGCUGGGAUUCGCAUCUAAUCUCCUUGCAUCAACAAAGACUCCUCUUUCCGACCAGAAUGAGGGUCUCUCCGUUGCUAUGUUUCUUGACACUCGAUAUGUGAACCGCACAGCAGGCUGAUUUUUAAAAUAACAUUUUAAAUGUUUCAAGUAACAUUUUAAAAAAGGGUACACACGUUAAGAGGAACAUCGGGAGAAAAACUUGGAUCUGAGACCCAGCUCAGACACACCUAUGGUACAACUUGAAGAACCCGCAUCUGUGGAAAACGACGCAAUGGGAACUCCCCUGUUGCCCAAGUCUGUGGAUUUUGGAGCAGCAAACGUGGAGGAAAAUGGAGAGACUCUGUAUUACCGAUCAUUUCCUAAGAACGAAGGUCACGUGGAAAGGAGCUGAGGUGGCUGGGAUCUGAUUAUUAAAGCCUGCAAUGGAGAAACAUAGUACUUGCAAAUGUGACAACAAACACAGCCAGGAAAAAAAUAGAAUUUCAUCAUAUUUCCUCUCCGUCCUUCUGCCUUGUUUAAAAAGUCAUUAAUAGUUAUGGUAUCAAUUGAUUCACGUCCACAACUUAGUCGCCAUGAUGGGACUGCCCCCAAGGUGAAAAUCAUUCUGGAAUGCUCCGGUCAGCAGUAAAUCUUCAAUUCAGAGGUUGAUGGGGAUCAAUAAAGGACAGCUGGAAGGAAACA